ensembl:snoRNA SNORD42 Small nucleolar RNA SNORD42
GUGCAGAUGAUGUGAACUUUUUUUUUUCCCACUGAUUAAAGUGAUGUUUCCAAAGGAACCACUGAUGCAC